rnacentral:rRNA from 1 species
CCAGACUCCUACGGGAGGCAGCAGUGAGGAAUAUUGGUCAAUGGGAGAGAUCCUGAACCAGCCAAGCCGCGUGAGGGAAGACGGCCCUAUGGGUUGUAAACCUCUUUUGUCGGAGAACAAAACCCGGGACGUGUCCCGGACUGCGUGUAUCCGAAGAAAAAGCAUCGGCUAACUCCGUGCCAGCAGCCGCGGUAAUACGGGGGGUGCAAGCGUUGUCCGGAAUCAUUGGGCGUAAAGCGUUCGUAGGCGGUAAAGUAAGUCAGAUGUUAAAGCCCGGGGCUCAACUCCGGUUCGGCAUUUGAUACUACUUGACUAGAAUGCGGUAGAGGUAAAGGGAAUUCCUGGUGUAGCGGUGAAAUGCGUAGAUAUCAGGAGGAACAUCGGUGGCGAAAGCGCUUUACUGGGCCGUUAUUGACGCUGAGGAACGAAAGCCAGGGUAGCAAACGGGAUUAGAUACCCUGGUAAU